GACACAUGGAUACUCACACACACUAGUGGCGCAUGUGUGUGAGCACCGAUAUGGCAUGUGUCUCCUCCUUGGAAGGCAAGAGUGACGCCUCCCGGAGCAUCGCCACCGGCUCCCCGCAAAGCAAGCGCAUCCAUCCUCAAAGCGCAUCCAUCCUCAUCCUCGCACUCGGGUUGUGUUUGUGUCUACGCCACCCGCCUCCUCCCUCCUCCUUCCUUCCUUUCUCGUUCUUUCUUCCUUCGCUCUUUUCUCUCUCCGUCUCCACCGAGGAGAAUCCGCUUGGCGUGUUCUGCGGCUCAGGCGUGGAGCUUCCUUUACUCUAGGAUUCCUGAGAAGUCACAACAUGGGCUGCAGACCACGUGCUCCCCUUCUCGCUCCUUCGGACUACGUGGCCUGUUCACGGCUCUUUUGUUAAGAGAGAGAUGCCCUGGCCGGAUGGCACAGAGAAGUAUCUCAAACACAUCUGAAACUGGACUGAUACGUUCUGUACCUGUGUAUGCUGAACACACGAAGGUUGUGAGUAAACCAAAUACCCAAGACGCAACACCUCGGCUGCAGUUUCUGAGGAAGGAUCCAGUUGUUUAUUUGACACGGCCUUGGCGCUCCUACAGAAAAGAGAAAGAAAAAAAGACUCAGUGAAUAUAAAGCCUUGAAGUAUAUAUUUUUUCUGUUAGUAAGCAAUUUAAAAUGAUGCUUGCUGUACAUUUUUGAAUUGUUUUAUUUGUGUUUUUAUAUCGGGAUAUGAUGUUUUAACUGAUUAUGUAUUGAGGUCGGAUGUAUUUGUAUGAAUUGUGUAUGUUGUAUGCUGCUUUGAAUCCCACCCACAGGAGAAAAGCGGGAUAGAAAUGAAUUAAUAAUAAUAAUAAUAAUAAUAGGAAUCAAUUCUUUACAUGGACGUUCAAACUGAAUAUGUAAUAUCCUAAAUAUACAUAUGCAAAUAUCCCACAGGUAAACCCUAAUAAAGACAUUGUGGGGUAUAUCCUCAGCAAAACUUCUUCACAUAAAAACACCUUCCAUCGCUUCUCUUCUCCCUCGCAUGCUCCAUCUUCUAAUUACUAAGAAAUUAUAAAUCUCUUACACUUAACUAGAAAACGGUUAUUUACAUUCUGCUUUCCUCCCAACUCCAUGUAGCCAAGAAGAUAAACAUUUUAGUACAACCACACAUAGGCCAUGAUAGUAACAGAGCAGGCCCUACAUAAAGCUGCAAGAAUAUGAAGAUACCCUUCAAAGAAACAAAUCAACCCAAAGUUUGAUGAAAAUAGUAUUUGACAAUUAUCAAUCCAUGGGGUUAUGAAGGUUAUGAUCCCAGUACAGCAACUGUCUGGCCACAAACAUUGAAGGCUGUUGAGCCAGCAGAAUCCUGCACCUGUAACCUAUUUAGUUUUCAAAACUUGUUCAUAUGCCCAUACAAACAGGCCCAAGAUUUUGCCAGUCUCCUUACACUUGGCAAACAAUAUUCUAUAGUAUGGGAGAAUUAGGCAUCAAGAGUAAUGUUGAGGAUGAUCCUGUAGCCAAUAAGAAAAUUUCAAGACUGGCAUCUUCUGCAAAAAGAUGUACUUUGUCAUGCAAACACAACUCUGGAGACGAGACAGUAAAUCAUCCAGAAUUACUAUCACACAAAACUUUAGCUACAAUCUAGAAAUCUAAUCAGAAAAGCAUUUUACAAAAAUAAAAGAAAAUUUUCUAUUUCCUCCAAAAGUGAAAGGCCUACAUAAAGAAAUGUCAAAAAUAUUUUUAGAACUUUACUUUUAUAUGGAAAUCACUAUAAAUGUACAUAGGAUAUAAAGUGCUGUCCAUGGUCAAACAUUGGAUUUCAUGGGCAGAAGGGGGGACAGGAGCUGUAGAAAAUCCAUCUUACACAACUGAAUUAAAUCAUUUCGUUUGUACCCGCCCCAAUAAGAAUAUAUCGAACUAGUUUAGCAUCACUUGCACUUGAUGCCUGUUUAAUUUCCAGUCCAAUGUAUAGUACCAAUUUUAACUUUGAAUGACUUUUGGCUGAUAGUUUAUUGAUGCUCAGGCACAAAUGUGUGGCCCUUGAGGCUCUGGAUCCUUCAGCAAAGCUAAAACACUGGUGGGUUAGACAGAAAAUGAUGCAAGUCAUGCUUCAGCUCAGGCGCCUUGGCUUCCUGCGGCAAACAAAUGUUGUGCAAAUGAUCUGAGCUCUUCCUUUCCUCCCUGACUCACUCCAGUCCAAGCUUCACAUCUAAUCCAUCACUUGGAUGACCUACCAACUCCUUCCAUCCUCCUCUUCAGAGGCCUGGCUUAAUUACUUUAAAAAGAAAUUUAAAAGGAAGCAGCCUUAAGUAGUUCCUGAUGUCAGAAUACGGCCUCCCACCUGACCCACCGACAUACCAGGUAAUUUUAUGCAAAAUAUCAGUCCCCUCCAUGAAAAUGAGAUUACGCAACAGAAAUCACAUAUUAGUGUAAAUGUAUGCAGGCUUCAAGAAAUGAAUCUUCUAUUAUUUCAUACUUGUAGUGAUACACGCAACUGGAGAUACCCAGCUUUUACAGCAUCCAUUAUCUAAGCGCAACUUUGGUUUUCAAAAUUAAACAAUUUCUGGGAUAAAAACACACAUAUAUUGAUAUUAUUUUAUAUAAUUCUUUAUAUUAUAUUAUCAUAAUUUAUAUUAUUAUGUAUAUGGCAAUGGCAAACCCUUUGAAAUUAGUGGGGUAGCCAGAGGCAGAGGGACGACUUGAAGACACACUCACAGAAAUGACUCUGAUGGUUCUGACUAAUUCAAACUGCAUUAUGGAUAAGAUUUCUCCAUCAAAUGAAGUUUAGAAAGGCUUUAUUUUAGACCCUUUUCUUUUUCACCUCAAUAUUGAGUAAAGGAAUGCCUGGCACCCUCAGGAUCUAUAGGGGUUUGAUUCCAGGAUUAUAUCAAGAUGCCAAAAAAACCCCUUGGAUGCUAAAGUUCUUUAUGGAUAAAAUGAUGCAUGGAAGCAAUAGCAAACCAUAGGCACUAGGUACCAAUUCUCUGGGCUUCCCUGCCUCCAAGAAACAAACCAGCCACGUAUUGCCAGCUUCAAGGCGGCACCUGUUAUGCUUUGAAAACAUACAGUGUCUAAACAGUGUCUACUCCUAUAAAAAUCACAUUGGGAUCCCAGUUUCCAGCCCUCGUAAGAUUAUAUUCACUAUGGCUGCAUCUAUGCAGGAUACUUUUCCUGGAGCUGAUCUAGAGUGGAGUGACAGGUGUCAUCGCCCUCACAGCAGCAACCAGGAGCAUGGAACUCGUCCAACUGUUUACAUGUGGCAAAAAUAUGGACAAGUUCUACGGCACGGCCCAACUUUAGGUAUCACAACAGCUCCAUGCAUCCUGUCGACACUACAUCUAUUCACCCCUAUCCUCAUCCCAAUUUAGCCCCAGUAGAUGGGUCUCAAGGCAGUUGGGUUCCCACAAGCAGCUAUAUACCAUUAAUUAGUUAUCAGGAUCUUAGCCAUUUGUAAUCUGCCUUAAGAAUUUUCUUUAGACGGAGCUAAUCAUAUUUAAAACUACUGUAAUCAGUGAAACAAAUUAGUCUGAAUGUACAUAAACCCCAGUUACUAAAGCAUGACUUAGGUUUGGAUUCCAAUGAAAAUAAAGAAACACUUCCAAAUUGUUACUUAAACAUACUAAACACAUCAAGGACAUUAUAUGGACAACCUCUGUGACAUUGACGAUUUUAUCUUGACUCUGCAGGCUGCUUUAAAUCGUUUUAAGUUAUUUCCUUUAUUAUUCAUUUCGAUACUGUUUUAAUGAAGUUUAUGUGUUCAUUUGAAUAAUUAUGCUUAGGUAAUUAUUAAUUUUAUUUUUGUUUAGUAAUGUAUGAGUCUAUAAUGAUAUUUACCUUGACUGUUUUUGAUUUAUUGAUUUUGCUUGGAGGCCACCCUGAGUCCCUCCGGAGAGAUAGGGCAUAAAGUGUUUUUAUUAUUAUUAUUAUUAUUAUUAUUAUUAUUAAGCAUCUCUCAGUGUCCGGAAAACUAAUCACCAUGCAACACAGUCUGGAUUGGUGAGUUUCGGCAGUCCUAACAUAACCCAAUACCUUUGAAAUGCAGGUGAUUUUCAUAGGUAAAAUACUGACAUGACUUGUGUACAUGCUAUUCAAAAGUCAAAAGCUUUGGACAUGUCUAAACUAACUCUUUGGAUUCUUACCUAUGCCCAUAUCUGUCCCAGAUAUUUUCCAUGUUAGCCAUACAGAAAAAAAAACCAACCCAUUGAACUGGCAGGCAUAAGAAAAGUGAAGACAGGUGAAAUAAAAAGCCAUCUUUUAAAAAUAAUUAUGGUCAUUGGUUCUGGUUGAACACAGUCUGGUGGAGUCUCAAUGCUGUUGAUUUCUCUUAUGUUCAACUGUGGUUUAUACAGAUCGUUUUAUUUUAUGAUUUUUUAUUUUACUGGUGGUUUUGUCUUAAUGGAUUGUUGCUUUUAUGUAUGUUGGACUUUCUGUCCCAUAUGUAAGCCAUCCCGAGUCCUUUAGGGGAGAUAGUGGUGAGGUAGAAAAAUAAAGUAGUAGGAGUAGUAGUAGUUGUUGUUGUAUUAUUAUUGCCAUCAUCAUCUCUGGCUGCAUUUUGGAAGAAUCUUUAAAGUGGUCUCUAGAAGGCUCAAAAUAUUUUCGUUUAUUCAAAGAACCUGGUUGUCUUUUUCACAUAUCUUGUUUGGGAGGAAGGUGAAAUAUAAAUGUGCAUAUUGUUAAUCUAUGGUAAAGGUUUUCUAAAACAUG